UUUUAUGCUCAAAUAUACAUUAUUUACAUACGCAUACUUCAUGUUUAACUUAACAUAUUUGAUUCAACUGAAAAGAGAAGUAUUAAUAGUAACAUUACUAACUUCAUUAUUUAUGGUAUGUGUCAUCAGAACAUUCGCUUACAAGUGUCGUUAAGUAUGAGUAUACGUACUUGAUUUUGAACUCACCGAAAGGAGUGACCUGUUGUUAAGCGGAAGUAAUGCAUUUUUUAAUCACCUUAAACGACCACGAAGUUAUUUUCAAUAAUCCAGAGAGAACCAGAUCGCAACUUCGGUCUACAUUAAGAACGAGAUGAAUUUUGUGGUACUGAAUGUUGAUCCAAUGGAAAGGAAAUGGACAUGCCAAGCCCAGCAACAUAUAUGUCUACCCGAUGUAGUCAAACGAGGUAGGUGUAAGAUGGCCGCCAAGAUCGAAGACCAACCUAACCGGCUGUACUAGACCGCAGUGCAAUAUGAAGUAGCACCGAAUCAACGACGAUGGAUUCGCUGCUAAGAUGUUACUUAUUGGAUUAUAACAAGAACUGAUGAGCCAGGUAUGUGCUAGAUGGACUCCUGGUUCGAAGGUCAACCUUAUAUAAGCUCGAAGUUUAGCCUUAUAGUGUGCCGACGACGAUGGAUUCGCUACUUCUCACUUUUUCUGCACGUAUUUUGACACGAAAUUUGGAGACAACAGUCCGAGGAAAAAUGUCCCUGAACACUCCACAGCGUUCGAUGAAUACUCUCCGACGAAGAUGUAUUGGACUAAUACAGUGUAAAAAACAAACGGCACUAUAAAGAGAACAUGGCUAACCUUUUCGUACAAAACAACUUGACGGGGACUUGACAGGAUAUACAAUUGCAAGAAAAACAAAUAUCGAGAACUUACUUGAAAUUGAUAUCGUUGUGUAUAGUGCAUUGAAUCUAACUUACUGGUGUUCCAAAACGCUUACGACAAAUUUAUCUUUCGCAGUUUUUGCGUAUUUUUUCAAUUCAAAAUCUACUGGAAUUGUCUACCCAGUAAGUUUUAAAUAACAUCGAUAUAAUUGUCACGUGAUUUUCACAUGUUACUUAUACACAUAACAUCGUUUUCCAAAAGGACGGACAGUGCAAUAAAGCGGAAAACUGCUGCAAAAAAUGUAGAUACAGAGUCCGACAGGUUGAUUUCGGUGAUGAAGUUAAUCGAUGAAAUUUUUUAAAGAGAUUACCACUGCUGAAGCUGACAGGGCGUUAGCUAAAACAAGUUUGACUGGUUAAUGUAUGGAACGAUCACGUGACUUGCAAAAUGUUCAGAAAAACGAACAUACCGAGCUGUUUAUGAACGGAGAAACUUGCCUGGGACCGGCUGUGAGACAACUGUUGUGCUUAUUCUUCAAAUCAUGUAAAAUGAUGUAUUAUCGGUCUCAUUCUAGCUCGUUUUGACAAGUAUAUGCUUGUUUUGAGGAAAUACUAUAUUCGCCGAUUUGGGGACCAUCUAGUUUCUAGUCCGAAAUGUUGACAUUAUUAUAAAAAUAUUUGUUUGUGGUGGUGUAUAUAGUGUGUAUUAAGUAUUGAACGUAUUAAAGUUUAGUCAGAAUGUGAA